AACACGACUCUCGGCAACGGAUAUCUCGGCUCUCGCCACGAUGAAGAAUGUAGCGAAAUGCGAUACUUAGUGUGAAUUGCAGAAUCCCGUGAAUCAUCGAGUCUUUGAACGCAAGUUGCGCCCGAGGCUUCGGCCGAGGGCACGUCUGCUUGGGCGUCGCACU
rnacentral:rRNA from 1 species